rnacentral:rRNA from 1 species
UUUAUGGGCACGGAGAGGAUGCCUAGGCACUCACUUUUAAGGACGUACAAAGACGAAAGGUUGUAAGUGGUUGUUCUUACAAAUCUCCUCAGGGAAACCCAAAAAGGCGCCCUACCCUGUCAGCGGAAACCUCCUAGAACAGGGAAGAAAUCAACCGAGACUCCGGCAGUAGCGGCGAGCGACCCCGGAUGUGCAGGCCUUCGUAUUUAAGAGUCAGGGUACUCUUUCUUGCUUUUUAAAGCAAAAUCUCUUACCAUCCAACCUUUUUGGAAAAGAGGGCCAUAGAAGGUGAAAGCCCUGUAGAUGGUAUGUUUAAAUAGGAACAAGAUUCUCAAACUCCAUUGGAGUUUGCUUGCUGUCAGGCAGUCUUUGCUUUAAAGUGGAGGACUCUUGGGGGAACCACCCUCCUGGCAAAAAACAGUUGAGUGACCGAUAGUGAACAAGUACCGUGAGGGAAAGGUGAAAAAGAUUGGCCUAUUGGUCAUAGUGAAAUAGCACUGAAACCCCGUGCCUACACCCGACUGGCAGCCCCUUGAGAGGUUCCAGUGUACCUUUUGCAUCAUGGGUCAGCGAGUUUUUUAAAGCAGCAGCUUAAACCGGUAGGUGUAGGCA